rnacentral:rRNA from 1 species
GACGAACGCUGGCGGCGUGCCUAAUACAUGCAAGUAGAACGCACAGUUUAUACCGUAGCUUGCUACACCAUAAACUGUGAGUUGCGAACGGGUGAGUAACGCGUAGGUAACCUGCCUGGUAGCGGGGGAUAACUAUUGGAAACGAUAGCUAAUACCGCAUAAUAUUGAUUAUUGCAUGAUAAUUGAUUGAAAGAUGCUAUUGCAUCACUACCAGAUGGACCUGCGUUGUAUUAGCUAGUAGGUGAGGUAACGGCUCACCUAGGCGACGAUACAUAGCCGACCUGAGAGGGUGAUCGGCCAAACUGGGACUGAGACACGGCCCAGACUCCUACGGGAGGCAGCAGUAGGGAAUCUUCGGAAAUGGACGAAAGUCUGACCGAGCAAAGCCGCGUGAGUGAAGAAGGUUUUCGGAUCGUAAAGCUCUGUUGUAAGAGAAGAAAGGGUGUGAGAGUGGAAAGUUCACACUGUGACGGUAUCUUACCAGAAAGGGACGGCUAACUACGUG